GGAGAAAAGUAUCACAUGGUUCUCUGUUUAUGCAAAUGAUGACCCACAUGGAGUAUUUGCCCUGUAUUCGGAUCGCCAGUCAAUACUUAUUGGGCAGAACCUUAUUAGAUCCAUCCACAUUAACAUAACCCGGCUUGCUGGAACAUUUGGAGAUGUGGCUGUUGGGCUUCGAAUAUCAUCGGAUCAUAAAGAACAGCCAAUUGUUACCGAAAAUGCAGAGAGGCAGCUGGUGGUCAAAGAUGGUGCCACAUAUAAAGUGGACGUGGUGCCAAUAAAGAAUCAGGUCUUCCUAUCACUGGGCUCUAAUUUCACUUUGCAACUGGUGACUGUGAUGCUUGUCGGUGGACGUUUCUAUGGAAUGCCAACAAUUCUUCAGGAAGCAAAAUCUGCUGUCCUUCCAGUCUCUGAGAAAGCUGCCAAUUCUCAGAUCAGGUUUCAUUGUUGCUGAAAUUGAACCAAUGGGCGUCUUCCAAUUUUCCACUAGCUCAAGAAAUAUCAUAGUGUCAGAAGAUACACAGAUGAUCAGAUUACAUGUACAAAGACUAUUUGGGUUCCACAGCGAUCUUAUUAAAGUUUCUUAUCAGACCACUGCAGGAAGCGCCAAGCCACUGGAAGAUUUUGAGCCUGUUCA
rnacentral:sRNA from 1 species